AUAGGUCCAUAACUCCGAGUCUUGGUGGCUAAGGCAUUAGCUAGGCCAUGAGGACCAACGGGUGACGCUGGAAACGGCAUUGCCUUCCGAGGGGCUUGACCCCGACUUGAAAAGGAGAUCUAUGUUGUCUGUA
rnacentral:ncRNA from 2 species